CCUACGGGAGGCAGCAGUGAGGAACAUUGGUCAAUGGGCGCGAGCCUGAACCAGCCAAGUAGCGUGAAGGAUGACUGCCCUAUGGGUUGUAAACUUCUUUUAUAUGGGAAUAAAGUGCAGUAUGUAUACUGCUUUGCAUGUACCUUAUGAAUAAGGAUCGGCUAACUCCGUGCCAGCAGCCGCGGUAAUACGGAGGAUCCGAGCGUUAUCCGGAUUUAUUGGGUUUAAAGGGAGCGUAGGCGGGUUGUUAAGUCAGUUGUGAAAGUUUGCGGCUCAACCGUAAAAUUGCAGUUGAUACUGGCAGCCUUGAGUACAGUAGAGGUAGGCGGAAUUCGUGGUGUAGCGGUGAAAUGCUUAGAUAUCACGAAGAACUCCGAUUGCGAAGGCAGCCUGCUGGACUGUAACUGACGCUGAUGCUCGAAAGUGUGGGUAUCAAACAGGAUUAGAUACCCCUGUAGUC
rnacentral:rRNA from 1 species